UGCCAGCAGCCGCGGUAAUACGUAGGUGGCAAGCGUUGUCCGGAUUUACUGGGCGUAAAGAGCGCGCAGGCGGCCAAGUAAGUCGAAUGUGAAAGCCCCCGGCUCAACUGGGGAAGGUCAUUCGAUACUGCCUGGCUUGAAGAUAGGAGAGGGAAGCGGAAUUUCCGGUGUAGUGGUGAAAUGCGUAGAUAUCGGAAGGAACACCAGUGGCGAAGGCGGCUUUCUGGCCUAUUCUUGACGCUGAGGCGCGAAAGCUAGGGGAGCGAACGGGAUUAGAUA
rnacentral:rRNA from 1 species